ACGACUGCUAAUACCCAAUGUGCCGAAAGGUGAAAGAUUUAUCGUCUGAAGAUGGGCUCGCGUCUGAUUAGCUAGAUGGUGGGGUAAGAGCCUACCAUGGCAACGAUCAGUAGCUGGUCUGAGAGGAUGAGCAGCCACACUGGGACUGAGACACGGCCCAGACUCCUACGGGAGGCAGCAGUGGGGAAUUUUCCGCAAUGGGCGAAAGCCUGACGGAGCAAUACCGCGUGAGGGAGGAAGGUCCUUGGAUUGUAAACCUCUUUUAUCAGGGAAGAAGUUCUGACGGUACCUGAUGAAUAAGCAUCGGCUAACUCCGUGCCAGCAGCCGCGGUAAUACGGAGGAUGCAAGCGUUAUCCGGAAUUAUUGGGCGUAAAGCGUCCGUAGGUGGUUAUGCAAGUCUGCCGUUAAAGAAUGGAGCUUAACUCCAUAGGAGCGGUGGAAACUGCAAGACUAGAGUACAGUAGGGGUAGCAGGAAUUCCCAGUGUAGCGGUGAAAUGCGUAGAUAUUGGGAAGAACAUCGGUGGCGAAAGCGUGCUACUGGGCUGAAACUGACACUGAGGGACGAAAGCUAGGGUA
rnacentral:rRNA from 1 species